UACGGAGGGUGCAAGCGUUAUCCGGAUUUACUGGGUUUAAAGGGUGCGUAGGUGGGUCUGUAAGUCAGUGGUGAAAUCUCCGGGCUUAACCCGGAAACUGCCAUUGAUACUAUAGAUCUUGAAUAUCGUGGAGGUAAGCGGAAUAUGUCAUGUAGCGGUGAAAUGCUUAGAUAUGACAUAGAACACCAAUUGCGUAGGCAGCUUACUACACGAUCAUUGACGCUGAGGCACGAAAGCGUGGGGAGCAAACAGGA
rnacentral:rRNA from 1 species